rnacentral:tRNA from 1 species
UCCCUGGUAGCUCAACGGUUAAAGCGUCUGCCUGCAAUGCGGGAGACCUGGGUUCGAUUCGUGGAUUGGGAA